UAGGUGGCAGCACUCAGAAACACUUUGGACAACAUUCAGUAUGUCUUCUGCUGGUCUUUACUGAAGCCUGCGCCAAUUGUCCUUGUUUACUCAAACACUCUCCUUCAGAUAACCAAGAGCUUGUGCUAUGCUUUAGGAGCGGGAGCUUCUCGCUAUGUCAUGCAUGAUGAGUGUGGAUGUGAAGAAACUGAAAGUGAAUGAGCUGAAAGAGGAGUUGCAGAAGCGUGGGCUGGACACCCGAGGCUUCAAAGGGGAUCUGGUGGAGCGGCUGCAGGCGGCUCUGAAGGUGGAAAACGAACCCACCUGCAGUGAUGAGACAGAAGCAGGUAGUGUUGCAGAGGCUGGGAAUGCUGAGGGUUCUGACCAAGGGCAGAUGGCUGCUGAGAAAGAGGGCUCUUAUAUAGACCCCAGUGCUUCUGAAGUCUCUAAAGAUGAAAAUAAACCAGAGAAUGUGAAUGUACAACAGGCAACCGUCGAGACAAUCUGCAAAAAGGUGGCACCAGUAAAUGUAAAAAAUGAGGAUGAGAUAAAGACGGAGCAACAAGGACAGCAGCGACCGGCUCCUGGCAGUGAAUGGGAAGAUCUGGAGAGCCAGCAGAAUGCAGAGAUCAAGACUGAACGGGACAGACAUGCACAUUAUGGCCACAAGAGGCGCUAUGAUGACGGCCAGGGUUUCAGCUAUCAUGAACACCGUGAAGACAGGAGGUCCCGCUCACCUCUGCCAUCUGCUGAAGAGGAUGAGGAAGACUUUGAUGGCACGCUUGUGGUCAUUGACACUUAUAACUGUGACUUGCACUUCAAAGUCUCUGGGGACCGUUGCAGCGGCUGUCCUUUAACCGCUGAGGGGUUUGCUUACCUAUGGUCUGGAGCACGAGCUACGUAUGGUGUAAACAAGGGACGCGUGUGCUAUGAACUGAAGGUUAUGGAGUAUAUACCAGUCAAGCAUCUUCCUGGCAGUGAGCCUGACCCUCAUGUGGUGAGAGUCGGGUGGUCUCUGGAUUCCUGCAGCACACAGCUUGGAGAGGAGGCGUUCUCUUAUGGGUAUGGUGGAACAGGAAAAAAGUCUACCUGUUGCAAAUUUGAAGAUUACAGAGAGAAAUUUGGUGAAAGUGAUGUCAUUGAAUGCUAUGUUGACUUUGACAGUCAUGAGCAAGUGGAAAUAGCUUUCUCAAAGAACGGGAAGUGGCUUGAUGUGGCAUUUCACGUAUCUAAAGAAGAACUGGCAGGUCGUGCACUGUAUCCUCAUGUUCUUGUGAAGAACUGCUCUGUUGAGUUUAACUUUGGCCAGCGAGCAGAACCUUUCUUUCCUUUGCAAGAUGGCUACACUUUGAUUGGGGCCGUCAACUUAGAGAACAGGGUCAGAGGAACUGUUGGUCCCACCAGCAAAUUUGAUUGUGAGAUACUGAUGAUGGUUGGUCUUCCUGCUUGUGGUAAAACCACAUGGGCCACAAAGCAUGCAGAGAUGAACCCAGAGAAGAAAUAUAACAUCCUGGGCACAAAUGCUAUCAUGGAGAAAAUGAAGGUGAUGGGAUUGCGUCGCCAGCGAAACUAUUCUGGGCGCUGGGACAUCCUUAUUCAGCGGGCCACUCAGUGCCUGAACCAAAUGAUCCAGAUUGCUUCCCACAAGAGACGGAACUACAUCUUGGAUCAGACAAAUGUAUAUGGAUCAGCCCAGAGACGGAAAAUGAGUCCUUUUGAAGGGUUUCAGCGCAAGGCUAUAGUAAUUUGUCCCACGGACGAGGAUUUAAAAGAGCGAAUGUUUAAGCAAACUCAUGAGGAAGGGAAGGAUGUGCCUGAUCAUGCUGUUUUAGAAAUGAAAGCCAACUUUGUGCUGCCAGAGGUUGGAGAUUUUCUGGAUGAAGUGACCUUCAUUGAGCUGCAAAGAGAAGAGGCUAUUAAGCUAAUCAAGUGGUACAAUGAGGAGGGCCGGAAGGCUGGGCCUCCGCCUGAGAAACGCUUUGAUAACGGAGGACAACGUAGACGCGAAAGCGGCUUCCAGCUGUACGACAACCACAGAGGGAUGAGAACAGGCCCUGGAGGAAGCUACAGGGGAGCUUAUAAUCAGAACCACUGGGGAGGGAAUCACAGAGACGGGCGAGAUGGAUACAGCAGCAGCCAUCAGUCUGGAGGAAGCUACAAUAGCAACCGCUAUAGCUCCUAUAACAAAGAGGGAUAUAACCAAAGCUAUAAUCAGGGUUACAACCAAGGUUUCCACCAGGGCAACUAUAACCAAGGCUAUAACUACAACCGUUACCCAGAUUAUGGGCAAGGUGACCAUUACAGUCGAGGAUCUGGACGAUCAUAUAACCAGCAGAACUACAAUCAGCAGUAUCAACAGCAGUGGCAGCAGUAUUAUCAGAAUCAGAACCAGUCGAACCAGUACGACGGUCAAUAUGGGAAUUACUCUGGACAGCAGGGAAGCCAGAGCUCACACGGCUCACAGUAAACAGGAAAACAGUUUAAGCCAAAUAUUCAGAUGUGUGCAGCACAUUUUAUGGAGGACUGUUUCCUGAUCCUGGGAGAGAAGACUACAAUGCCGGCUGUUCAGACUCACAGUCUAGCUGCUGUCCCUCUAUCCCUCACACUACUCGGCAGACUUACAUAAUCCGGCUGGCACAUGGAGACUGGGAAUGAUGGGCACAUGAGGCCAGAGACAGGGCUGAGAACCCCGGGAAAGUGGAAUGUGGGAGAUCUAUGACUUUAUGUUGUGACUUGUGAUGUAAGCUGUCCUUCUUUUAACUACCCGGAAGUCAAUAUUUGACCUGACAGAUGUAAAUGUAAAUGGUUGUCAUGUGGAGUGGGGCUUAUUGAUAGACAGACAGAGACGAGUUGGACACUGACCGAAGCA